rnacentral:RNase_P_RNA from 1 species
AAGGUGUAGUAAGUGGCUGCUCCAAAUAUGGAGAGGAAAGUCCGAGCUGCAUUGGGAUAGGAUUCCAUUUAAAGAAUGGCUAGAGCAAUCUAAGGGAAAGCGCAACAGAAAACAAACCGCCUACAAAGGCAAGGGUGAAAAGGCGAGGUAAGAGCUCACCGAGAGCAACGCAAGUUGUUUUGCACUGCAAGCCCAAUCCGCAGCAAGAAAGGUAUGGUUAAUAUCCCAAGAUUUGAACCUUUCGCUAGAGUUUUGCUGCAAGGCAAAAUCCAGAUAAAUAGCCGCAUAAACAGAACUCGGCUUACCGCUACACCCCAAUC